rnacentral:rRNA from 1 species
GUGGGAUGACGUCAGUUCCUCAUGCCCUUAUGGUAGGGCUACACACGUCAUACAAUGGCCGGUACAGAGGGCUGCCAACCCGCGAGGGGGAGCCNAUCCAGAAAACCGGUCGUAGUCCGGAUCGUAGUCUGCAACUCGACUGCGUGAAGUGGAAUCGCUAUAAUCGGGAUCACUUGCCGCGGUGAAUACGUUCCCGGGUCUUGUACACCCGCCCGUCACACCAUGGGAGCGGGUUCUGCCAGAAGUAGUUAGCCUAACCGCAAGGAGGGCGAUUACCACGGCAGGGUUCGUGACUGGGGUGAAGUCGUAACAAGGUAACCGUA